rfam:Triticum aestivum genome assembly, contig: Triticum_aestivum_CS42_TGACv1_scaffold_221253_3B
AUUCUACUACCUCCGUUCCAUAAUACAUGCCUUCUAUUUGUCAAAAUAUAGAUGUAUUUAGACAUGUUUUAGUAUAUAGGUACAUCCACUUUUGGACAAAUGGAAGUCAAGUAUUUUGGAACGGAGGGAGUACACA